CUGGACACUCAGGCCGGCACACACCCGUGUUACCUUCUCUGGACACCAGGUCCAUCUGGACGCACUCAGUCUCCCCAUAGGGGCACUGCAUGUACAGGGAGGCGUUGCAGGCCGCCGAGGAGCUCCCCUCGCAGGCACACUGGUUUGCACCUACGUAUGGGUUAAUGUCCCUCCUGUGUGCCCUUCGACACGGACGCAGUUCACACGUGCAAGCAUGCAGACCUGCUUCUCUGGGUUUGGGGACUGGCAAAAUAGCCCACCUGGGGAGCACACCGAUUUGCCAUGUAUACUACCUGGGUUUGAGCUCAGCCCCCCACUGGACAGAAGUUUGGAGCUGGGGUCACAGCCCUGCACCCCAGAGGUAGGAG